UGGGGAAUUUUGCACAAUGGGGGAAACCCUGAUGCAGCGACGCCGCGUGAUUUAGAAGGCCUUCGGGUUGUAAAAAUCUUUUCUAUGGGAAGAAAAUGACAGUACCAUAGGAAUAAGGACCGGCUAAUUACGUGCCAGCAGCCGCGGUAAUACGUAAGGUCCGAGCGUUGUCCGGAAUCAUUGGGCGUAAAGGGUACGUAGGCGGGUAAGCAAGUUAGAAGUGAAAUCCUAUAGCUCAACUAUAGUAAGCUUUUAAAACUGCUCAUCUUGAGGUAUGGAAGGGAAAGUGGAAUUCCUAGUGUAGCGGUGAAAUGCGCAGAUACUAGGAGGAAUACCGGUGGCGAAGGCGACUUUCUGGCCAUAACCUGACGCUGAGGUACGAAAGCGUGGGUAGCAAACAGG
rnacentral:rRNA from 1 species